UGAAGUUUUAGCUUUUAAAAAAAAUGAAAACAUCGCUUCUUGGCCUUUUGGCUAAGAUCAAGUGUAAAAAAAAAUGAAAACAGAAAAGAAAUCCACAAGAGAAGAACGAAUCAAAGCUGGAAG
rnacentral:miRNA from 14 species